UUUUUGAAAAUAAUUUAAAGUAGGGCCUGCCCACUGAAGUAUUAAAGGGCCGCAGUAUUUUGACUGUGCAAAGGUAGCAUAAUCAUUAGUUUUUUAAUUGAAAGCUUGUAUGAAUGGUUUGAUGAGAAAAUAACUUUCUAUAUUUAAAUUUUUAAAAAUUUUAUUUUUAAGUUAAAAAGCUUAAAUUUUUUUAUUAGACGAGAAGACCCUAUAGAGUUUUAUUUUAUUAAUUUUUUAAAUUUUUAGAAUUAAAAAAUUUUAAUUUUUAAUAAAAUUUGGUUGGGGUGACUAAAAAAUUAAAUAAACUUUUUUUGUAUCUUUACAUAUAUUUAUGAAUAGUUGAUCCAUAAAAAUGAUUAAAAGAAUAAAUUACCUUAGGGAUAACAGCGUUAUUUUUUUUUAGAGUUCAUAUCGAAAAAAGAGAUUGCGACCUCGAUGUUGGAUUAAAGUUAAUUUUAGGUGUAGAAGCUUAAAAAUUUGGUCUGUUCGACCAUUAAAACUUUACA
rnacentral:rRNA from 1 species